rfam:Dipodomys ordii contig_991, whole genome shotgun sequence.
GGGAAAGUGGCUCAGUGGUAGGGUACUUGCCUUGCAUGCAUGAGGCCCUGGGUUCGAUUCCUCAGCACCA